UACACUCUUGCCUGGUUACAGUGUCAUUAAGUAUGUAAUAUUUAUCACAAAAAAAUGUGGAUGUUAGAACUCAUAUUGUAUGAGUUUACCUGCUGACAUCUUCUGAUAAACAGUUGUAGAUUGAUAAGUAAUAUGUCAGUAAAGAACAGUUUUUAUAUAAUUAAUUUUGUUGCUUUUCUACUUGCUAUUCCAGGACUUAGCUGUGUUGUCCCUCUUUUAGUCAUACUUCCAAUACUAGAGAGCCAAGUGAGAUGUAAACUAUAAGUAAUAUCCUCACUCUUGCUAUUCUCUUUGUAAGUUGAGAAUGUCCUAUUACUUACUAAUAGUAACAUUUCUCACAAAUAAGUGCCAUUAACCAAAGUAGCAUGACAGUAAUUUGGGAUGGAAAAAAGACAACAAGAUAAAAUCCAUAUAAACUUUAUGCCAUAUUUGUUUAUAUGUAGUCAUAACCGUACAUAAAGACAUGUAGACACCUGUAUUUUUUUAUGAAAUAUAAAGUUAACAAAUUUAAUUAUUAAAUUGUCUAGUUUAUCUUAUUAAUUGUAUGUUAAAUUUUACAUAAAUUAGUUAUUUAUAAGUAUAUUUGUAAUUGGCAUCUAAUUAUACAUAAACAUAUUAUAUAUUAUAAUAUAAUUAAUUAAUCAUGUAUCAAUUAAUUUUUUAACUUAUACUAAUUUUUACUAAGUCAUUCUUUUUUUUAGUGUACAUUAUACAAAUAUCUGUCAAAUUUAUAGGAUUCAUAUAAUAACAAAAGAUUUCAUUGUGUUGAUAUAUAAAAGAAGAAUGAUUUAUUUAAUAUAAGAAUUUGUAUAUAUGAUUUUUUCUGCGUGAAAUUUUUUAAACUAACAUAAUAUUGAUAUGAAUUAAUUCUAAUAUGUGUCAAAUUUAUACUCAUGACGUUGUUUAAUAAAUUUAAGUUCAUGUAAUGAGAGCAUGUAUGUGCAAUUGGUUGUGUGUGAGAGCAUGUAUAUGCACAAGAGGGGGAAAAAAUACGGGUUUCUAUAAUUAUGAACCUACGAUUAUGAGGAUACUAAUGAUCGAUGUAAUGUUGAUUAGCUUCUAGCUUAUGAAAGCUUUUCAAUUGUAAAACUCAACUGUUAAAAACAUUUCCAAGGCAAGAAUUCUAGUUUAUAAACGGAGCUUUUCAAUUGUCCAUUUUUGACAUGUCUUUUUGAUUAUAUCUUGUUAAGGUAUCUUUUUUUUAUUUGCAUCAUUUUCAAAAUCUAUUUGUGAUGGACCCUGAUUUCCUAUAAUUUGUUCCGUAAUUCUAGAUUUGGGUGUUGAGAAAGGCAUUAAAUUGGAAGGUUUGUCAGAGGCGCAUAUCUUUAAGGCACUUGAAGAUUUGGUAAAUAUUUGAAUGCUAAAUAUUUGACUGCUAAAUAUUACUCUUUCUUCCCCUUUAUCCAUGUUUUUGGUGUAUGCUAAAUAGUUGACUGCAAAAUAGUAAUGAUAAAUCUUUUGGUUCUAGAAUUUAUAAAUUAAAUGUAUUGGUGUUUUCUUCUAUGUAUCAUUUGCCUCUUAUGUUGUUAAUUAAGUGUAUGAUAAAUUGCUUAAUUUUUUUAUUAAAUUUGUUUGUUGGUUAUGAGUUUAAUAAUAACUAUUUAGAGAUAAUUAAUUUAAUAGACUUUUAAUUUUUUUAAAAUAUAGUGAGGAUUUUAAGAAUGGUCAUGAUUUUUUAAAAAUUCGUCUUAAAAAGAAAUAUACAUUGUAAGACGAUUGUUUAUGAGAUUAUCGUCAAAAAUCUUAAUUUUCUACUGGAAAAUCGUCUUAAAUAUGCUAUAGAACCGACGAAAAAUAAGUUUUUGUAGUAGUGAGCAUUACUAAAGAAAAUACUGCUUGUAAUGAUAAACAAAUCUAAUACUAAUUGUUCCGAUAAUAAAAAUCUAAUUAAUACUGCUUGCAACAUCUAAUUAGACUCAAAUAUGAAUGAUUAAUAAAGAAAUUAGUCCGAUACUACGGCGUCUUCAGUUACUUUUAUUUGUUUUUGCUUUAUUUACGGCGUCUUCAGUUACUUUUAUUUGCUUUUGCUUUAUUUAAUUACUUCUGACUAUUAUUAUUUUAUUAUUACAUUGUAAUUUUUUGCAUUCGAAAGGCUUACCAUGUGCGAUGGUGUGCAUCAAUUUGUAUAUAAAUCAAAUCAUAUCGAUUAAUUCUAACUUGUAUAUAAAAUCUCUCUUCCCCUUUUCUUUUCCGCUGUAUGUGUGUGCUUGUUUAUUUUUUAUUUUUUAUUUUCUACAGAAAGUGUUAUUAGAGUUCUUAUUAUUGGGUUCGGAGUUUCCAUGGAUUCAGUGCGUGUUUUAUCUUCUCCUAAUGCUUGUUCUGUCGCAACUGGUACCAAUAUACAUGUCUGCUUUCACAUUACCCAUUGCUUUCUUCUUUGAUUUAUUCAUCCAUUUUUCUUGUAAAACCUUUCGUGAUUGUAGGUGGAAAUCUCCGGCGGAGUAAACAUUCCACCAAUAAUAUUUACUAUACAAGUGAAAGAAGGAAUCACUUCUACCUUGUAUGGAUCAAGAAAUCUUAUUAGUUACUUUUUUGGUCCUUUAUUGUAGAAUUAAAUUGAUAUAUUUUUUAGGUGUAAUUAUAAGAAAUAUAGAUUCAUUUUCAAAUAUUAA